rnacentral:rRNA from 1 species
GACAGAGGUGCCAAGCGUUAGGCGGAAUCACUGGGCUUAAAGCGUGUGUAGGCGGGUGGCUAAGUAACUUGUGAAAUCCCACGGCUCAACCGUGGAACGGCUGGGUAUACUGGGUGCCUUGGGUCAUCCAGGGGUUGCCGGAACAAAUGGUGGAGCGGUGAAAUGCGUAGAUAUCAGGAGGAACACCGAUGGCGAAGGCAGCUCGCUGGGACGGUACUGACGCUGAGGCGCGAAAGCGUGGGGAGCAAACAGG